GGGGAUAUAGCUUAGAUGGUAAAGUGCUUGCUUCGCAUGCAAGAGGUACGGAGAUUGAUACACUACAUCUCCC
rnacentral:tRNA from 1 species